AGAUUGAACGCUGGCGGCAUGCCUUACACAUGCAAGUCGAACGGCAGCGCGGGAGCAAUCCUGGCGGCGAGUGGCGAACGGGUGAGUAAUACAUCGGAACGUGCCCAAUCGUGGGGGAUAACGCAGCGAAAGCUGUGCUAAUACCGCAUACGAUCUACGGAUGAAAGCGGGGGACUCGCAAGGGCCUCGCGCGAUUGGAGC
rnacentral:rRNA from 1 species